rnacentral:rRNA from 1 species
GACGGAGGAUGCAAGCGUUAUCCGGAAUGAUUGGGCGUAAAGCGUCCGCAGGUGGCAGUUCAAGUCUGCUGUCAAAGCCUGGGGCUUAACUUCGGAAAGGCAGUGGAAACUGAACAGCUAGAGUAUGGUAGGGGCAGAGGGAAUUCCUGGUGUAGCGGUGAAAUGCGUAGAGAUCAGGAAGAACAUCGGUGGCGAAGGCGCUCUGCUGGACCAUAACUGACACUCAGGGACGAAAGCUAGGGGAGCGAAUGGG